rnacentral:rRNA from 1 species
UACGUAGGGGGCUAGCGUUGUCCGGAAUCAUUGGGCGUAAAGAGCGUGUAGGCGGCCAGAUAGGUCCGUUGUGAAAACUGGAGGCUUAACCUCCAGCUGUCGAUGGAAACCAUCUGGCUAGAGUCCGGAAGAGGAGAGUGGAAUUCCUGGUGUAGCGGUGAAAUGCGCAGAUAUCAGGAAGAACACCCGUGGCGAAGGCGGCUCUCUGGGACGGUACUGACGCUGAGGCACGAAAGCCAGGGGAGCAAACGGG